UACAGAGGUCCCAAGCGUUGUUCGGAUUCAUUGGGCGUAAAGGGUGCGUAGGUGGCGCCGUAAGUCAGGUGUGAAAUUUCGGAGCUUAACUCCGAAACUGCAUUUGAUACUGCGGUGCUUGAGGACUGGAGAGGAGACUGGAAUUCCCGGUGUAGCAGUGAAAUGCGAUAGAGAUCGAUAAGGAAGACCAGUGGCGAAGGCGGGUCUCGUGGACAGUUCCUGACACUGAGGCACGAAGGCCAGGGGAGCAAACGGG
rnacentral:rRNA from 1 species